GAUGAACGCUGGCGGCGUGCCUAAUACAUGCAAGUCGAGCGAACAGACGAUGAUCUUGCUCCUCUGACGUUAGCGGCGGACGGGUGAGUCACACGUGGAUAACCUACCUAUAAGACUGGGAUAACUUCGGGAAACCGGAGUUAAUACCGGAUAAUAUAUUGAACUGCAUGGUUCAAUAGUGAAAGACGGUUUUGCUGUCACUUAUAGAUGGAUCCGCGCCGCAUUAGCUAGUUGCUAAGGUAACGGCUUACCAAGGCAACAAUGCGUAGCUGACCGGAGAGGGUGAGCGGCCACACGAGAGCUGAGGCACGGUCCAGACUCCUACGGCAGGCAGCAGUAGGGAAUCUGGCGGAAUGGGCGAAGACCUGACGGAGCGACGCCGCGUGAGUGAUGAAGGUCUUGGGAUCGUAGAACUCUGUUAUGAGGGAAGAACAAAUGUGUAAGUAACUAUGCACGUCUUGACGGUACCUAAUCAGAAAGCCACGGCUAACUACGUG
rnacentral:rRNA from 1 species